AAUGAACGCUGGCGGCAGGCCUAACACAUGCAAGUCGAACGGAUCCUUCGGGAUUAGUGGCGGACGGGUGAGUAACGCGUGGGAACAUACCCAAAGGUACGGAAUAGCCUCGGGAAACUGGGAGUAAUACCGUAUGUGCCCGAAAGAGGAAAGAUUUAUCGCCUUUGGAUUGGCCCGCGUUGGAUUAGGUAGUUGGUGGGGUAAUGGCCUACCCAGCCGACGAUCCAUAGCUGGUUUGAGAGGAUGAUCAGCCACACUGGGACUGAGACACGGCCCAGACUCCUACGGGAGGCAGCAGUGGGGAAUCUUAGACAAUGGGGGAAACCCUGAUCUAGCCAUGCCGCGUGAUCGAUGAAGGCCUUAGGGUUGUAAAGAUCUUUCAGGUGGGAAGAUAAUGACUGUACCACCAGAAGAAGCCCCGGCUAACUCCGUGCCAGCCGCCGCAGUAA
rnacentral:rRNA from 1 species